rfam:Gossypium hirsutum cultivar TM-1 chromosome 12, whole genome shotgun sequence
UGUUAAAAAUUUCAUCCGUUUUUACUAUUCAAAAAUGAUAUUAUAGAUGAAAUAAUCAGACAAUUAGAUGUAGCAUGCCACAUGCACUUCAUGCUGACGUAUAGGGACCGGUUUUUAAUAGUAGAGAUGGAUGAAAUUUUUAACA